CUAUAUAAAGGGGAUGAAGUUCGCCUUGGCCAAUGCCAAAAUGCUGAUAAGCUGAUGACUUCUGCAAAUAG
rnacentral:ncRNA from 2 species